rnacentral:rRNA from 1 species
GACGAACGCUGGCGGCGUGCUUAACACAUGCAAGUCGAACGGAAAGGCCUGCUUUCCCUUGUGGAUUGCGGGUACUCGAGUGGCGAACGGGUGAGUAACACGUGAGUGAUCUGCCCCCAACUUGGGUAUAAGCCUGGGAAACUGGGUCUAAUUCCCGAUAGGACUGCAGGGUGGUGCCUGUGGUGGAAAACGAUUUUCUAGUGGUUGGGGAUGAGCUCGCGGCCUAUCAGCUUGUUGGUGGGGUAAUGGCCUACCAAGGCGGCGACGGGUAGCCGGCCUGAGAGGGUGGACGGGCACAUUGGGACUGAGAUACGGCCCAGACUACUACGGGAGGCAGCAGUGGGGAAUAUGGCACGAUGGGCGGAAGCCUGAUGCAGCGACGCCGCGUGGGGGAUGACGGCCUUCGGGUUGUAAACUCCUUUCGGCCGCGAGGAAGCCACCUGGUUGGAAGGGUGGUGACGGUAGUGGUAGAAGAAGCACCGGCUAACUACGUG